UCCCCAACACCGAUGUCACAAGCCGA
rnacentral:piRNA from 1 species